CUUUUAAGAUUUAUUUUGCUUAAAAACUUUUAAAGAUUUAUUUUGCUUUUAAGUGCUUUUCUUGGGUGGCAGACUGGUAUUUUAUUUUUAUUUGACGUCAUGCUAAGACGCAACACAUCAUCCUAGUAGACUUCCUAUAUAAGCAAUGACCAAUUAUAAAAUGUAACAGAGGAAAAGGUCUUACUUAUAAUAGCAUUACUUCACCAGAAAAAGAUACCUAUGAAUAAACUAAAUGAAAAAUUACCACCUAUACAAGGAGAAGUUUACGAAGGUAUUGAAGAAUAUAAAUGAAGACAUGAAUUCUAUGGAAAGAUGUUUAUAUAAGAAGAUUCAACAUUAUAAAGAUGUCAAUUCUUCCCAUAUCAGACUCUACAUAUAAUGCAAUUUCAAUAAACAUAGCAAGGAGAUUUUAUUUUGGCUAGUGAUACUGGUUCUAAAGUUCAUAUGGAAAAGGAGGGAAACCAGGAAAAAAAUUGUAAAAUAAAAGUUAAUGAAGGGAUUGGCCCUACUAUGUGCCAAAAUACAUUAUAAAGUUGUAUUAAUUAAAACAGCGCAUUACUGGCACGUGAGCAGGCAGACAGAUGAAUGGAACAGAAUAGAGUACAGAAGUAGACCUAUAUUAGAUAAAGUAACAAUACGUGGUUUAAAGAAAGACAGAAAAAAGGAAAAAAAAUGAAUGGCUCAUAAAACGAAAGAUGAUUUCUCAUUUUCAUAAAGUCCAAAACAGGUGUUCCUGCUUGGCAGGCUCUCCUCCAGGCAAGGAUUCUGGAGCUCAUGCUCCUUGCAUCUUUAGCUCUGCCAUGCUCAGUAUGUGGCUUCUCAAGUUUUUCUGGAGGAUAUCUCCGUUCCACAUGGCAGAAGGCAAAGAGGAUGGAGGAUCAUGUGUGGGAAGCUUUUACGUGCCAGGUCCAUCACUUCCUGACUGCAGUCGAAGCUGGGAAACUAACGUGCUGUGAGCCCAGAGAGAGGAAGGAAAAGCUUUGGGCCCUUACAUUAACGCAGAACACCUGCUUUGGCCUGCAUUCGGCAUCCCACUGUAGCUCUGACAUUUUUAUUAUUGUAUCCUGAGGCUAAUGUUCAGCAUAGUCUGCCCUCCUGCUGCAAGAGACAUCCUGGAAAGUCCACCCUUGCAGGGUGGAGCACGUUCCGUGACACCUCAGAAUGACUCGGGAAGAGAAGCAGAAAGAUUCAGACACAAGUUGGAUGCUGUCAGAAUGUGCAGGAACUGUUACUUAUGGCUGCAGGUAAAGUUACUAGCUGGGACAUUAACAGCAUCUGCUACAGCAAGAAUUAAGACACCAAUUCCGUCUAUAUUCCUUUCAAGCAGUUUUAAACAGCAUCUGUUGUAUUGCUGAAGGUGUAGGCAAACAGCAUGCUGAUGUACUGUUGUUCCGAAUGUGUAUUGAUACAGCCGCUAUGAAGGGCAACUGGACGGUGGCUGUCAAUAUUGAAGGUGUGGGAAUUCCCUGGGGGUCCAGUGGUUAGGACUUCACGUUUUCACUGCCUAGGGUGUGGGUUCAGUCCCUGGUUGGGGAAUUAAGGUCCCUCAAGGUACGCGGCAUGGCCAAAAAAUAUAUAUGUAUAAUAUAUAUAUUGAAGGUGUAUAUACUUUUUGAUCCAGGUUUAGGAAUUUCACUGCUAGGAAUUGAUCCUGAAGAUAUUGAUGCAAAGCCUUUCAUACAAGUAUUUUCAUUGUAAUCAUAGAGGAUUGGGCACCGGUUUCCUCCAUGGGGCACUGGGUAAAUUAUUGUACAUCCAUAUAGUGGCACCCUUACAUAGAAGGGGAUCCUCUCUGUGUACUGACAUUGAACACUCUUAUCAGAAGGCAGCAGAAAAUGAUUAACUGUUUAUUCAGUAUACUACUGUGCUGUAUAAGUGGGAAAAGAAAAAGUGUGUUUGUAUAUGUACAAACUAUCUCCAGAAGAAGAUUUCUACAUGCUAUGGAUUGUAUUCUUCUUAUAACUUUUCUGUUAUUCCUAGGGACUUGGUAUAAGAGGUGGCAGCUCCAGGGUAGUAUUAGUCUACCAAAUGGUAGAUUGUGAAAACAAGUGUGAUGAAAACUGACAAAUAAUAACAGAGUACAGCAAAGUGACUGGAUAGCAGGUAAUCAUUCACAAACUGGUGGUUUUCCUGUUCACCAGCAAUAGAUAGUUAGAAAAUGUAAUGGAAGGGAAUUUGCAACAGAAACCUAAGUAUAAAACACCUAAGAAUAAACAUAACAAAUAUAUAAGACCUUUACAGGGGAAAAAGUAAACUAUAGGACAUAGAAAAACGCCUAGAUAAAUGGAGACUAUUAAUGGUCUCAAUAUAUUAUGAUGCCAGUUCUCUCCAAAUUGUUCCAUAAAGACAAUGUAAUCCCCCAAAUAUCCUAAUAAUAUUUAGUAUAUAGUUUAACAAGCUAAUUUAAGAAUUCAUAAGUAAGGCUACAAGUAUAUGCGUAGCUUAGACAGUUAUGGAGUGGGAGAAAUCAAAUGAUCAGUAAAUGUAAAAAUCAAUGUUAUCCUCCCUAGUCAUUGCAGACGUGUAAAUUAAAAUAAGAUGUAACUUUUCACCAUAUAAUUGGCAAAAAAUAAAAAAUGUUGAUACUACCAAUCAAGAAUGUGAGGAAAUGGUAUUCUCCCAUUCAACUGAUAGAAAAAACAUUAUUUAAAGCUCUCUGAAAAGCAACGUGGCAGUAACUUUGAAAAUGGUAAUUAUUCAUUCUCAAUGACCCAGCAAUUCCAUUUCUCAAUAUCUAUCCUGUAUGCAUCAAACAUGUAUUUUAAAUGGCACGCACAAAGAUAUUCUUACCCCCAGUUCAUAGUUGCAAAGAAAAGAAAAAAGGACAACAACCUAAAUACCCAUCGAUAUAUUCAUAAAUGGCUACAUAAGCCAUAGUAAAGCCCUACUAUGAAAUAUUAUGUAGUAAUUUAAAAGAAUGAUGUAAAUCAAUAUCUACUGACAUGAAAAGAAUAAAAAACAAGGUUUAGAAUACUGAAUUCAAUAGCAUCCCACUUAAGAAAAAUAUAAAACAACACUAAACACUUGUACAGGUACAAGUGCAUGAUUAUAUAUUAAUUUUUUUUGAAUUUAAUUUUAUUUUUUUAUACAGCAGGUUCUUAU